AUACGAACGUCUCAGCAAAAUGGCAGUUUCUGAAAUACUCGUACCAAUCUGCAUGACAGCAACAUAUAAGUAAAGAAGUCAAGGCCAAGAAAGGAGAUCAUUAAUAGCAGAGGCCACCAGAAGGCCCAUGGAAACUCUGGAGGAGACGUGUAGAACUACGGCUCAGACUGCCUCUCAGCUUCCUGUCUGUCACAGUGAAGGGGCAUAAUGGGUCUGAGAAGAUCAACCCAUCUAAAGAGGGAUUUGGACCCUCUCACCUCUGGAAAAUCCAGGCUGGGGGAAGCUCCGGUCCUCAUAAAUGUGCAGAAGUGCACCUCUUUGAGAAGUGUUAAUAUUCCUUCCUGCUGUUGUCAGGAAGAUCUCAUCAAAAUGUGAAAGAAUGGAAAGUUUUAUAUUUAUGAUUUAAACACUGAUUCAAACGAAAAUGCCUAUACAACAAACCAUAUACAGUAUGCAGAGUCAACGAUAAGCCUUGUUUAGGUAAUAUUGCAUGGCGUCUUAUUAGAUUACUUUUAAUGAGUGCAGUAUUGAGUAGUUCGUCAAUCUAAUCAGACGGGUUAUGAUAAACUCUUUUAGAACAAAAUUGGUUCUCUAUUCUUUUUCAGCGCAGUAAAAUCCAUAAAGCCAAUGGGAGAGCUAAGCCUUAAAAACAUUACCAGAAUCAGAUUGAAGCCUAGAACCAACAUGCAGAAUGUAGUUAUGUUAUGAGGGAUUGAUCGGCGCGUGUAGUUUAAAAUAAUUAGCAAUGAUUUCUGGGUGCAUAGAUGUGUGUUUGGAUUAUUUCUCUGGCUAACAUGGAGCUGUUAAGCUUUUAUUUGCCAUAGCUUGCGGUUUAUAGUGUAAAGUGCACCCACACUGAAUGUAUUACCAUUAAUGGCAAUCUAACAGAAAUGACUAAAAAUCCACAAAUAUGUUUUGAUAUAUAGAAAGUGUAUAAUAGUGUAUGUUUGAUCUAAUAUGCGAAUGCAGAACAUACGCUGUUAAAAAAAAAAAAAAAAAAACAGCAUCUCCUGUUUCAUCCUAUCUGCUCAGUAUGGCACUCUGCUUUAGAUGAAGGGUAAAUAUGUGUCAUGUACUCAUUAACUGAGCAAAACUUUGUUGUGCCACAUGACUCAUUCCACAUAGUUCUGUCAAAAAUCUACAAAAAUCCAACCUAAGUGGGAAUAGCACCCAUGUCACACACGGGUAUGUUUUUAUUUGUGUGCUUAUUUGAUUAAAGCGGGUGGGGCUAUGAUACUGACAACCAUUAAUCACUAUAUACUAAUUACCAGAAGGUUCUUUCAUGUUUAACUCAAAGAUGUUGGAAAAUGAAGUCCCUUGUCAUUUGCUUGGAUUUUCAAGGCAAAGGACAAACAAACGCUAAUAAGGCCUGUCCCUUUCAAAAAGAACGAGCUGUGUGUAAACACAUUCCACAGAUUCUAUCUAAGCAUAAAUGUCUUUUGGUGUUAAUUUACUGUAUAUAUAAAAAGGUGAUAUUGCUAAUUACUUUCAUGCCGACCAUGUCACAUGAAUUUAAAUUAAACCUUUAAAAGUGCACAGUUUUGACAUACAGUAGGUGGCACAAGUAUUCAAACCCAUUUAACCAUCUACCACAUAGGACAAUCCAACCACAAAAUUCAUUGUAUUCAUUGGGAUUUUACGUGACGGAAAGUAUUGCAUAAUUUAAAAUGGAAGAAAAAAUACUGAUUGGGUUAUUUUAGUUUUUAUACACAUAAAAAAUCUGGAAAAACGUGGUAUGCAUAUGUAUUCACCCAUCUUAAAACCUAUACUUCCAAACAAUAUAAUGUGCCUACAACAACCUAAACAGUCGAAAGAAGAUCAUAAGGCCCCCACCUAUUCUGAUUGUCUAAGACCUGUGCGAUACUGGGUAGAAUUGAUCAGCUUUAUAAAAUGUAGAUGGUCUAAAUAUCAGCUUAUGUGCCAUCCUGACCAAAGUCUGUUUCUAACUUUUGGAUGACUGGGGCUCAGUCCAUGGUGUUGAUUGUGACCUUUAGACUGGGUCUAAAUUGUGGUUAAUACUUGUAUCGGUGCCUUCUGAGCAGUUGUUUAAUCUGACUUAUUUUCUUCUCUUUUAUAUAGUAUUCCUGUCUUGUGUGCCAUGGAAAACAAAAAAAAAAACAAAUGCAAAGAUUCCACCUGUGUGUAAUUUAACCUAACACAAUCUCAUGCUGCACUGCUUGAUUGAGCAUGGAAUAGGAGAAAAUCUACCAAGACACAGAGAUCGACUUAAACUAAAAGGCUCUGCAUGGAGAGCAUUACUCAGAAACACACCCAACAAGUUCAUAGUAGGGUUGUCAUGACACUAAUAUUUCAAACUAAAUACCAAUGCAAAAAAUAAUAAUACUCAAUAGUGCCAUUUUUGAUACUCCGACAAACAUUUUUGAAUGCACAGAGUUCAAAGUUAACUUUAACCUUCUUUAUUACAGCAAAAUCAAUAAGUAGGAGACAACUGAUCCCUCAUUUAGAUAAAUAAAUUAUUUAAGCUUUGCUCCCU